rnacentral:rRNA from 1 species
ACGGGGUGUUAGGGCACGACACCGGAGAGGGAGCCUGAGAAACGGCUACCACAUCCAAGGAAGGCAGCAGGCGCGCAAAUUACCCAAUCCCGACAUGGGGAGGUAGUGACAAUAAAUAACAAUACAGGGUUCUUUUGGAUCUUGUAAUUGGAAUGAGUACAAUUUAAAUCUCUUAACGAGGAACAAUUGGAGGGCAAGUCUGGUGCCAGCAGCCGCGGUAAUUCCAGCUCCAAUAGCGUAUAUUAAAGUUGUUGCAGUUAAAAAGCUCGUAGUUGAACUUCGGGAUCAAUUAGUUGGUCAUGCCUUGGUAUGUACUGAUUUUAUUGGUUCUCACCUUCUAAAGAACUAUAAUGUCAUUUAUUUGAUGUUAUAGGGAAUUAGGACUGUUACCUUGAAAAAAUUAGAGUGUUUAAAGCAGGCUCACGCUUGAAUACAUUAGCAUGGAAUAAUGAAAUAGGACGUUCGAUCCUAUUUUGUUGGUUUCUAGGAUUGACGUAAUGAUUAAUAGGGAUAGUUGGGGGCAUUAGUAUUCAAUUGUCAGAGGUGAAAUUCUUGGAUUUAUUGAAGACUAACUACUGCGAAAGCAUUUGCCAAGGAUGUUUUCAUUAAUCAAGAACGAAAGUUAGGGGAUCGAAGACGAUCAGAUACCGUCGUAGUCUUAACCAUAAACUAUGCCGACUAGGGAUCGGAUGAUGUUAAUUUUUUAAUGACUCAUUCGGCGCCUUACGGG